UCUAGUUCCAACAUGUACGUAGGAUUGUAGUUCCCCCAGUUUUACAAAGUGGUAAACAGGCUGAGUGAAAUAAAGUGGACGCAUACGUUUGGAAAAUCACAGAUCCAGAAUUUGAACCCCCUCGCUGCAUCCAUGGCCGGUUCCUGGGAAAGGACCUGGGUUUCAAUGCGCAGCUGCAGGUUUGCAGGAAGGACUAAGCAGCUGAGCGCCCCAAGUCACACGGCCUUGUCCUGCUGUCCCAGAAUCGAUGUUUCCAGCCUCCCAGACGCCUGGUGGUGAUGACAGUCAUCCUUCCUGCUCUGUCUAAGAUUCCUGGAAGGCAGUGUGGAAUCGCUUAAAAUAACAGAUCGACCCCCGGGUCUGAGACGGUGGAGGCCCUGGCCAGGUAGCAGCUGUUCCCAGGACUGAGGCUUAUUGGAAAGGGAUGAAAGGCAUCUUUUCUCCCAUUUCCAGAGAACCUGGCUCCAAAUGCAGAGAUUUUCCAGCCCCAGUGUGCAUAAGAAUGAGCCAAGGAGCUGAAAAUACCAACACCUGAGUCGAGUCCUGCCCCCAGACUCUAGGUGGAUGCAGAAUUCUGCAUUUUUAACAGGAACUUUAGGAGGCUCUGAUGUGGGUGGUAAGCACCUUGGGUGUUUGGGGUGCACUCUUUUGCAAAGGGCGCUUGCAGUGGCAGAUGCUGGGGACACUUCCCAUGUGAGGGCGCCUGUGCUCAGAGCUGGUUGUUGAACAUACAUGCUGUACUGUCCAUUGUGUGGAUUCACAGACAGCCUCCAUGUGGUGCUUUAACUCUGUGAUGGUGUUAGAGUGGUGUGCAUUCGUAGGCUCACAAUAUCUAGUACCGUUUUCUCAAGAUGCUUGGCAGGUGCAGCGAGCUGUAGCUCUCAGUCAGCCGUGCACUGUGUUGCUAAGCCAGGGUGUUCUGCAGGUUAAGUGUAUUAGAUGCACCUGCUACUUAGGAUAUUCCCAGGUUACUCUAGGUUGUUUCGGAGGCCACCCCAUAGUAAACGAAGAAGCAUUUGUACUAGGGUUUAGCCACUCUCCUAUACACGGAUACCUGGGUUGGCUCAAAUAUUCUGGUUUUUAAUAAAUCGUGCUUCUGUGUCUAACUGUCCUGAAAGGGAAAGGAAGAGGCUGUUGUGACAGCCACCAGGAUGGAAAUUGCACAUUAGGACCACCCUACCCUUAGUCUCUGUGAGGGUUUCCAUCCAGAUGUCCCUGAAAAGCCUCAUGUGCUCAUAGGCGGGGCUUUGGGGAGGUGGCUGGAUCAUGGGCGUGUGACAAGUGCAUUGGUUCACUGAUUGGUUUAUCAUAGUUCUAGCUGUGGAAGAUGGAAAGGCCCACCCUGGGUUUGGGUGGCGCCGACCAAUGGACUUGUAGCCUGGAUGGAAUAAAAAGGGAAAGGAAGGCCUGCUGUUCGUUGCUUCCUGCUUGCCAUGCCAUGAACUGUGUCUUCUCUACCAUGCCUCACUGCCUAAGGAGCAGUCCACUGUGGACUGGCACCUCUGCAAACUGAGAGCUAAAAUAAGCCUUUCUUCCUUUAACUUGUUGGUGUGCUGUAUUUUGUCCCAGCAACGAGAAAGUAACCAAGACAUACUCUAAGUGGGGUCCCUUGGCUAGCUGGGUUAGCAGCACCCAGGAGCAUCUUAAAGAUGUAGAUCCUCAGGUCCCUUUUCAGAACCACUGCUUUAGAGCUGCGUUUUGAAGACAUCUCCAAGUGCUUCCCAUGCUCUAAUGAGUUUGAGCAAUGCUUCCCUCCAUAAUUUUUCCUAUACCACAGUCCAAGGUGGAGCUGGAUGCAGGGAGUCUCAUCCAUCCUGAGUCUCAAAGGAGGAAUAUGUGCGAGACUCUUGGCUUUGGGUCGUUUAACCCAGGUGAGGAAAGGCAGCCUCUGGGGACACUAAUGGAAAAAGAGAGUGUGUGUUCCCAUGCUCAAGCAGAAGUAGAGCCACCACGAGGCUUUUCCAGGGAGAAACUUGCCAAGGAGCAGGAGGAGAUCCCAGCUUACCUCUUACCACACCAGCCCUGGAAAGUCCAGGACUUCCAGGGGUGAGAAUUGAGAGAGAUGGGGACAGGAUUUGUCGGAUAGGGAUGGGAUGCUGAUGGAGGUGAAGGUUGGAACUCUUUGUGUGUCUCAGUCAUGACCCGGUGCUGUGACUCAGUAUGGAGGUGGAGAGUGGAGGGGAAGGGAAGCAAUGGCACCCCCUGGUGGCCACCCUGGUGAGUGAGGGAAGGAUGCCCAGGCCAGGGUAUGACAAGGGAAAUAAGAAUAGAGAAUCAUGGUUGCAAAUGGGCUACAGAUCUGGAGAGAGAAACACACACACGCACGCACGCACGCACGCACGCACGGAUGCAAGCACGCAUGCUCAGGUACUAUAUGUGAUCCGUUCUUGAGCCAAGGCGGCCCAAAGGUGGGUCCCAGAGCAAGAGCAAAUUCUGUUUGCUGACUUCCCCUAGCCCCCCGCAAGGGGUCCCCUUCCUGCACUUCUUUCCACACAGCUGAAGAAGGGCAGCAUCUCACUGUGGCCUGGAUGUUGCAGGCUGGGCAGGCAGCCAGGAAGAACUCACCUUCACAGUCUGGGGACUUCACAACUUUGGGCUCUGGGGAUUCUGGAACCAGGUUCUCUGGCAGUAAGGCUGCAUUCUCAACCAGGGGAGAAGAUGGAGGAAGGACCCAGGUUCUCCCAAAGAGUGUCUGGAUCCUGGGGCGUCCACCCCUCUGAGGGAAUGUUUGUUGAGUCCUUAUUGUGUGCCAACAACUGGCCUUACUUUAUCUCUUGAUUUAAUCCUCACAAUAGCCCUCUGCUGUGCGGUAAGCAUUCAGUAAAUACCAGCUGAAUUCAUGGAUGAGCUCUUUGAAUUGGGUCUUCUUAUAAAGUUCCCACUGAUCUGUUAGGGCUCCAUCCCAAGAUCCUAGUGGACACCUAAGACCAUGGAAUCAAGCUCUGUAUAUGUUUUCCCUACCUGCCCUGCAGGGUUGCCACAUAGUGCCAGAGCUAAUCUGUCCUUUUAUGCCCUAGUGUCUCCUUUGCAUCCCUCUCUUGUGCUUUGUGGCUAUUAUUAAGUACAAUAAAGGUUAUUAAGCACAUGCACUAUGAUACCACAACCGUCGAUCUGAUACCUGAGCUAAGUGACUAACAUGUGCGUAGCAAAUAUAGCGUGGAUACACUGGGCAGAGGAUGAUUCAUGUCCCGAGUGGCAACAGCAUGGAUUGGAAUUAGAUUUUAUCAUGGACCUAGAAUAGUGUGUGACUUCAGACUUAUGUACUGUUUAUUUCUGUAAUUUUCUCUUUAACGUUUUCAGGCCACAGUUGACCACAGGUAACUGAAACCAUGGCAAGUGAACCACGGACAGAGUGACUGUCAUAUUCCUGUGCUUUCGCAUCCCUCUGCCUCCCUGUUCACUGUGCCCUGGGUACACCAGUCUCCUUGCUAUUCCUGGACCACUCCAGCUGAACUCCCUGCUCAGGGCCUUUGCACAUUCCCUUUGCCUAGACAUUCUUUAUCCAGAUCGCCUGUGGCUGGUUCCCUGCCUUCUUUCAGGUCUUCAUUCCAGUCUCUUCUUCUCAGUGAGUCUGUCCCUGAAUGCCUUAUUUAAAAUCCUUAUUCCCUACUUUAUUUUCUCCCAGCACUUAGUUUCUCCCUUUCUGUAGCCAUCACCUCCUGAUCUUGUCCAUUCUCCAAUACUAGGAUAGAUGCCUGUUCCUGCAGACAGGAUUCCCAUUGGCUGGCUUACUGCUGUACCCUGGGCACUUGGGCAGGCCUUGACUCACACAGCUGUUUGGCAAAUAUGUAGCAAAUAAAGGAAAGAAGGAAGAAACUAAGGCUCAGAGCCGAGCUCAGAGACUUGGGCCAAUCACUUGCCCAGAGUCAUAUGGCAAAUAAAUGGCCAGAGUGGGCUGAGUCCGAAGUCCGGGCUGACUCCAAGGUCUGUGGGGUAGAGGGACCUGGGGACCUUUUAGGUGGGUCCCACAACACGCUGCCUUUGACUGGAGGGCUUCAUAGCUGACUUUUGCAACCCAUCUGAGCAAGUGCAAAGAAGCCCCUGCCAUUCCGUUCCUGCCGGGGAGUUGGCUCCAGGUAGCUCCUGGCAGCGGAAGAUUCAUUGGGAGAGGCCUGCCUGGUCCAUCAGCUUUCUUCUCAUUUGGUUUCAGGGGACAGGAGCUCUUUUCUGAGCCUGUUUGUGGGGACGCCUUCAAAGACAAGUCCCUGCUUAGCAACCUCAUCUCACGCAGAACCUCAGGAGAGAGCUCUGGGCUUUGUCUGCACCAGGGCAGUUGUGUGGUUAAUUGUGCCAGUGUGUCCAUUAACUGCCAUCACUGGGGAGUGAAUUAACUUCUGCUUUUCUGGCUGUAUUUUAAAGAGAUUUUUAAAUGCUUUUUUUAGGGGGGGGAGCCUAUGCACUCUUCAGAAAUUAAAUUUAGACUGUGAUUUUAUUACCCUUUUUAUUUAAUUUAUCCUAACAGUUGCAUUCAAGCUGUGAACCAGCUGUUGACUUUGAAGAAACAUUGUUCAAUUUGAAGGGAACAUUUAAAAACUUAAUGUAACGGCUCUAAGUAAUCACUACAGCAAUUACACUCCCCAGCAUCCGGCAUCAGGAGGGACACGGUAUGGAUUUGGAACAAUGCUCCUAUGGGCAGAGGGACAGUGUGGACAGGAGGCGGAGGCUGUAAAGCUGGGGCAAAGGGGUGGGCUGCCCGCACACCUUGCUUCUCCCUCCAGCCUUGCUGGGGUUGGGCCACGCGGAGGAGAGUUUGCCAGAGGCCCAGGUUAAGCUGAGCACCCGGACCUGCCUGCUUCUUUGGGGUCACUUCACUUCAUCAGAAGACUUUGCUGUUCUCUCUUCCCCUUGCCACAAAGAGGGCAGGAGAAGAGGUUCGAGGUGAGAUGGAAUUCAGGGGCUCAACUUGGAUUCUUCCCUUUCUGCCUCUGCAUCCCUUCAUCCACUCAUGUAUGCCAUCACACUGGUAGGUUGUAAGGAAUAGGCCCAAAUGCUCUCUAUGCCUCUGUGCAGACUCUUGACAACACAUCCGUCUGCUAAGAAGUGAAGUCUAGAUUCCCAAAUAUCACAUUUCAGCUUGGUUAUGUGGUAGCCAUGGGCACGUGGGGUGUUAGCAGACGCCACGUAGGCGGAGGCCAGAAAGUCCCUGCCUCUGCAGCUGGUCCUCGAGCUGCUGUCAGGCCUCAGUGUGAGGAAGCCCGAGUUAGCCUGCUGGAGGAUGAGUGUGCACCUGGCCCAGCAGACAUCCUGUGGAACCAACCUGCUCACCUGUUCAUAAGCCACCCGAGAGCGUCUGUUCCCAGUGAACCUAUGAGUCGUGAGCCAAGUACAGUGAUGUGCUUUUCAGCCGGUGUGUUUUGGGGGGCUCACUGUGCAGUAAAAGUAAACAGUCAGCAAGUAUUAGCCGGGUACCUGACAUAUGCCAGGCAUUGCCCUUGGCUCUGGGGAGGUCAAGCCUGGGGGUGGGCAUGAGGUCCGGGCCCUGUCUGUCAGGAUUCCAUCUCCCCGACCCAGCUUCCUGCUGGCUGGUCUGCUUCGGCCUAAGGGAGGCCACUCUUUCUUUCCUGCUUGCCUUGUAGCCCUGCGCGGUCUCAGGCCCCAGGUGCAGCUCCCCGCCUCUCCUUAGUAUCACAGGCAGUGGGCCUGCUGGAGAGGAGUAAAGAUUAAGGGCAGUAGACUAACAGGGAGUUCAAGUCCUACCUUUGCUGUCUACCGCCACUUACUGUCAGAGGCAUGAGUAGCCGCUAGGGGUUGAAAAGUGUGCGCCCCUCCACCCGAUUCACGUGGGAAGCCCCAGACCCCAGGGUGACAGUGUUUAAGGUAACUGGAGAGCUCAUAAGAAGACGCCCAGGUGAGAUGGUCCUUCCCCUCCGCCCUGUGCAGCCACAGGAAGAAGGUGGCCACCUGCAAACGACGGAGAGAGGCCUCUCCAGACACUGAAGCUGUUGGCUUCUUGCUCUCGGGCUGCCCCGCACCUGAAACCGAGGGAACUAAACGUCUGUGGUUGAAGCCACGCAGUCUGAGAUGUGCACAGCAGCCCACGCAGACCAAGGCAUGUGGCAGAGCUGGCCGGAAGGGAUCCCAUCCAUCUCUGGGGGCGCAGGCCGAAGGCCAUGACCUCCCCCGUCCCAACUCUCCCGUCUGUAGAACAGGGUGGUAACACCCAUUAUAGGACUUUUACAAGGAUCAGAAGGGGUAGAGAGCACAAAGUCCUUACUUCAGAAUCUGCCACACAGGAAACAGCUGUUCAGGGGGACUUCGUUUCGUUGUUACUGGCAGUGUGGUGUUGGGAAAGUUACCUGUGUCUCGAUCUCUCCACCAUGGAAACAGGCAGACAUCAGGCCACCUGUUGCUCGGAACCACCUCAGGAGGGUAAAUCUCAAGAAAGGAUAAGUGUGUCUAAAACACUUAGCACUGGGCCUUUCACAUGGGAGACGCCGUCACUGUAGUUUGCAUCUAUAGUGUCCCCAGAAGCCCACGUGUUGAAGCCUGGUCCCAGCCCAUGGCACAAUUGGGAGAGGGUAUAACUUUAAGAGGUUGGGCUAUGAUGUCACUGGAGGUGGGGCUCUAGGGCCUUUUCCCUUUCCUCUUCUUUUUGCUUCAGGGUCCCACCUGAGCUGUUCUGCCCUGCCAUGCAUUCCCCCCCAGAAUUUGCACCCUGGGUCAACUGGAGCCCAAAACAACCUUGUUCUCUUCAUAAGUUGAUUAUAAAUUAAUUAUUUCAGUUUUCUUUUUUGUACUUGGGCUCGAACCCUGCAGAGCUACAUUCAUAGCCCUUUUCUUUAUCUUGAGACGAAGUCUCGUUGAGACACUAAGUUGCCCAGGCUGAGCUUUAAUCUGCAAUCUUCCUGUCUCAUCCUCCACAGUGCAGUAAUUACAGGCAGGCACUAACAAGUCCAGCUCCUUGCUUUUUGUUAUUAACAGUCGAGGUGAUUACGGUGAAUGUUUCUGGGCUGAGGGUGGCUUUCUACUUCCCAGCAGUGAGCACGCUGAAGUUUCAGGCAGGCCGCCCUCUGUCCUGUCUGCACCUGUGUCUUCCCUGCAGGCUCAGUUGUGUUGCCAAACUGACUGAGGUAGGAGACUGCAGGGCAUGGCAGUGUGGCUGGGCCAAAUGGGCGUGGGCUGCCACUUGCAGGCACUUGUUCAACACAGGUGCAGAGCAGCACUCCCGAGCCCGGUGCCUGGUACCGACCUUCUGCAUGAGAACAAGCCGAGGCCGGCACCCGGCGCCCAUCUUCUAGCACAAGUUCAAGCAGGACAGCCUGGAUCUAAUGUCGGGAAUAAGACAUGAAAGAGGUCGACCAUGGGCUUCGGUGCCACUGCCCCUCGCCCUUGCACGGCCCGUUCUGUUUGCAGAGUUAACUUCUCCUUUUUCCUUCAAAGCACCUUUUCUCCUUCAGCACUUCUUUUGUGCUUUUUUUCCCCCCUUUUCUUCUUAUAUUUGCCCUAAAGUAAGUGUCAAUCUCUCCCAGUCCCCGCUUGUUCUGACCGACUCAGAGUGGGACAGUAAGAGUCUGGAAAGCCCUGCUGGCCUCCACAGCGCCUAGUGACAGCCAUGCGGCCUCUGCACUUUCUCUUCCCCGUUUCAGAAUGGCAGAUAGUUUACAAAUUCUGCACUUUCUCUGAGUGCGUAGCGGUGUUUGGAGCUGUGAACUAAUGCCUGGCCCUUGCGGGCUGGUCAGGAGAAAGCAUCCUAAUUAUUAACGACACUGGUGGUGCAUUUGAGAUAGGGGAGUAGAGGGUGUUCGCUGACCCGACAGCUGGCUCUGGGGGACUCCCGGGGUAGUGAGAUCUCACAGGCCUGUGGAUUCUGACCUUUGAGGUCUGUGCAUCGUCUUUGCUUGUGAGAGCUCAGGGUGAAGCUUGGGGCGUUCAGCAGACCUAGUCAUCUUCAUGUCCUCAGCGCCUGUGAGGAGACUCAAUCUUCAGAUGGCCCAGACGGAGGAGCUUAGACUCUGUGGCCAGAGAGAGCCCGUGUUCCACCCAGGGCCGCUGUCCACCAGCUGUGUGACGCUGGUCGUCAUCAUGAGUGCUGUUUGCGUAGCACUCUGGCGGCCAUCUUUGCGGAAUUAGGAGGGCUGGGUAACAUCAUGGGACUCUGACUGCAAUUGUGAGCAGAACUGGGGUCCUGCGGUGGCCUCUCUUUCCUUGUCCUAUGAUGACUAACAGAGCCUUCCCGAUGCUGCUGCUCCCUCUGCUAGGAGCCCCUUCCCCUGUCUUAUGAAGAGAUCCCAGGGCAGACGCUAGGUAGAGGCCAGGGUGAGGCUGGAACAGUAGCAGGCCAAGCCCCCAGGUCCACAGUCCUGGGGGAAGCGGGAGGCAGGACUGGGCAGAUGGGCGGUGGGCUCUAUGGGAAGCUCUGAAGUCAGAGGUCUUUUAGUGAUGCCCAAUGUUGGGGCCGUAAUUCGAACUUCUGUACCCUGCACCAACCACUCUCUGGUUCUGAUCUGUCCUGGGAAGGGGGUGUGACCAUGAGUGAGAUGGAGGCCUUCGGUGGGAGCAGCUCCGGGAGAUGGGGGACUAAGAGCCAAGGAGCCCCUGUAGCGGGGGUCAGUGGAGUCGCCAGAGCUGGCUGCUGUCAGCUCAUGGCAGCUGAUCCCUAAAUGCUCAGGAAUUUUUUGAUCAGCUACGGAACACAGCUGUUAUUAAAUAUUAAAUGAUAUAGAUUUAUAGUCAAACACAUUGGAUUAGUAACAAAUGCAUCACUCCUUAAUUGUUUCAUCGCAGUUCUUAGCUGAGUUCUUGCACUUGUUAAAUCCGUCCUCCCUGUAGGGGAAGCUCUGAGUUACCUGGGCUCCUGCACACUGCUUUCCAGCUGUGAGUGGUGUUUGCACCACCGAAGUAGGCAAGUAUUAUGCAUCAGGACUUAUUCAUUAUUUGGCUGAUUGUGUAGACUUGAGAAAGUGAUGGAGAGAAAAGAGAUAACUGAAAAUUGUCUUUUAGGUAGCUGAUAUGUUGCGAAUAGCAACAACAACAAACCUUCCAGAUUGGUGAGUCAUAUAAUUGCAGGUAUAAAUGGCCUAUGGAUAUGGGAAUUUAAUAAAAACUGAUAAGCACUUCCGUGAGAAUCA